rnacentral:rRNA from 1 species
GUUUGAUCCUGGCUCAGGAUGAACGCUGGCGGCGUGCUUAACACAUGCAAGUCGAACGAACCUUCGGGUUAGUGGCGGACGGGUGAGUAACGCGUGGGAAUCUGCCCUCAGGAGGGGGAUAACGGCUGGAAACGGCCGCUAAUACCCCAUAUGCCGAGAGGUGAAAAGAAAUUCGCCUGAGGAUGAGCCCGCGUCUGAUUAGCUAGUUGGUGGGGUAAGAGCUCACCAAGGCGACGAUCAGUAGCUGGUCUGAGAGGAUGAUCAGCCACACUGGGACUGAGACACGGCCCAGACUCCUACGGGAGGCAGCAGUGGGGAAUUUUCCGCAAUGGGCGAAAGCCUGACGGAGCAACGCCGCGUGAGGGAUGAAGGCCUCUGGGCUGUAAACCUCUUUUCUCAAGGAAGAAGACAUGACGGUACUUGAGGAAUAAGCCACGGCUAAUUCCGUGCCAGCAGCCGCGGUAAUACGGGAGUGGCAAGCGUUAUCCGGAAUUAUUGGGCGUAAAGCGUCCGCAGGCGGCCCUGUAAGUCUGUCGUUAAAGCGUGGAGCUUAACUCCAUUUAAGCGAUGGAAACUACAGGGCUUGAGUGUGGUAGGGGCAGAGGGAAUUCCCGGUGUAGCGGUGAAAUGCGUAGAUAUCGGGAAGAACACCAGUGGCGAAGGCGCUCUGCUGGGCCAUAACUGACGCUCAUGGACGAAAGCCAGGGGAGCGAAAGGGAUUAGAUACCCCUGUAGUCCUGGCCGUAAACGAUGAACACUAGGUGUCGGGGGAAUCGACCCCCUCGGUGUCGUAGCCAACGCGUUAAGUGUUCCGCCUGGGGAGUACGCACGCAAGUGUGAAACUCAAGGAAUUGACGGGGGCCCGCACAAGCGGUGGAGUAUGUGGUUUAAUUCGAUGCAACGCGAAGAACCUUACCAGGGUUUGACAUCCUGCGAAUCCCUUGGAAACGAGGGAGUGCCUUCGGGAGCGCAGAGACAGGUGGUGCAUGGCUGUCGUCAGCCCGUGUCGUGAGAUGUUGGGUUAAGUCCCGCAACGAGCGCAACCCACGUCUUUAGUUGCCAGCAUUCAGUUGGGCACUCUAGAGAGACCGCCGGUGACAAACCGGAGGAAGGUGUGGAUGACGUCAAGUCAUCAUGCCCCUUACAUCCUGGGCUACACACGUACUACAAUGCUACGGACAAAGGGCAGCAAGCUCGCGAGAGUUAGCAAAUCCCAUAAACCGUGGCUCAGUUCAGAUCGUAGGCUGCAACUCGCCUACGUGAAGGAGGAAUCGCUAGUAAUCGCAGGUCAGCAUACUGCGGUGAAUACGUUCCCGGGCCUUGUACACACCGCCCGUCACACCAUGGAAGUUGGCCAUGCCCGAAGUCGUUACUCCAACCCG